UACGUAGGGUGCGAGCGUUAUUCGGAAUUACUGGGCGUAAAGCGUGCGCAGGCGGUUUGUUAAGACCGAUGUGAAAUCCCCGGGCUCAACCUGGGAACUGCAUUGGUGACUGGCAAGCUAGAGUAUGGCAGAGGGGGGUAGAAUUCCACGUGUAGCAGUGAAAUGCGUAGAGAUGUGGAGGAAUACCGAUGGCGAAGGCAGCCCCCUGGGCCAAUACUGACGCUCAUGCACGAAAGCGUGGGGAGCAAACAGG
rnacentral:rRNA from 1 species